GAGUUUGAUCCUGGCUCAGGACGAACGCUGGCGGCGUGCCUAAUACAUGCAAGUCGAGCGAGCGGAACCAACAGAUUUACUUCGGUAAUGACGUUGGGAAAGCGAGCGGCGGAUGGGUGAGUAACACGUGGGGAACCUGCCCCUAAGUCUGGGAUACCAUUUGGAAACAGGUGCUAAUACCGGAUAAUAAAGCAGAUCGCAUGAUCAGCUUUUGAAAGGCGGCGUAAGCUGUCGCUAAGGGAUGGCCCCGCGGUGCAUUAGCUAGUUGGUAAGGUAACGGCUUACCAAGGCGACGAUGCAUAGCCGAGUUGAGAGACUGAUCGGCCACAUUGGGACUGAGACACGGCCCAAACUCCUACGGGAGGCAGCAGUAGGGAAUCUUCCACAAUGGACGCAAGUCUGAUGGAGCAACGCCGCGUGAGUGAAGAAGGUUUUCGGAUCGUAAAGCUCUGUUGUUGGUGAAGAAGGAUAGAGGUAGUAACUGGCCUUUAUUUGACGGUAAUCAACCAGAAAGUCACGGCUAACUACGUGCCAGCAGCCGCGGUAAUACGUAGGUGGCAAGCGUUGUCCGGAUUUAUUGGGCGUAAAGCGAGCGCAGGCGGAAAAAUAAGUCUAAUGUGAAAGCCCUCGGCUUAACCGAGGAACUGCAUCGGAAACUGUUUUUCUUGAGUGCAGAAGAGGAGAGUGGAACUCCAUGUGUAGCGGUGAAAUGCGUAGA
rnacentral:rRNA from 1 species